AGGGUCAGAAGUCAGCCAGUGGAAGAAAUCAGGUUUGCUCUUUGGCUUCUUAUUUAUACAUUGCUUGCCGGCAAGAGGACAAGACAAGAUCCAUUACGAGUACCAAACAAUUUUGGUUUAUUUGUAUAUAUUUGGCAGUUGGAGCUUGAAACCGGACAAUCUGUUGAAAUGGGAACCAUCCACGCCGGAGAUUUUAUGCGGCUCAAGAGUCUGUGCAGAAGUUAAAGGAGUUCAAUAUAAGGUUACAUCAUUAACCACUACUGUCUUAUCGUUUUUUAUGUUUUUGUCGAUUUUAUGAUUAUUCGUACGUGGAGCUUUUAACCCUUUGUUUGCAAGACGAGUCACAUACCUAUUGCAGCAGAAGUUAUAAACAACACAGCUCUCUGAUUAGAAGAAGCCUCUCCGAGGUGUAUUGGUGGCAACUGGACUAGCAGAAGAAACUAUAAGAAACUCUUACAUAGAUAUCUCCCCUCACUUUUCCAAGAUCAAACCAGCAGAUGAAAAAUUUUGAACCCUGGCCAGAAUGUCUUUUUUUUUUUGGACAAACCCUGGCCAGAAUGUCUAAUAUAGCUUUUGCCAGUGCUUUUUGAAAAUCUCUUUUGUGUUGCAUUGGGGAUGAACAAUUGUCACCUUAACUAUGAAUCUAUGAGAUUGGGGGGUAUUUCCAACAGCAGGUGAGGGAUUUAGUAUUCCUAAACUUCUCCCCAGAAGGAGUGGCACUUUCAUUUGUUUAGAGUCUUUCUAUGCCAAGCGAAUAUAUCAGUGGUAACUUGAGUUGCCGAAGAAAUUAUAGUAAACUCUUACGAAGAUCUCUACUCUCACCCUCGAAGUAGUCCUAUGCAAUUAUAUCUGGUUUCCAAGAGUUUAUUUCUUUAGAAUUGUAUUAAG